GGAAGCUUGGAGGAAAGUCAUCUUCUUCAUCUUCCUCAUUGGCCAUUGGAGAGCAAGCUUUGAAGGUCACUGAACGCGUUGGAAGCGACGGUUCGUCAAUUCGUUGAGCGGGUGCGACGUUCCGGCUAAAACAAGUGUUGUAGGUUCGUGUUGACCCGGGGAACCGAGGCGGCUUCCAUAAAUUGUGGGAUCGGAUUCCUAGCAUCAUGACGAAGAACCGAAGACCCUUAAUUUCCGGAUCGCGAAUCGGAGGUCGUAAGGUGGUUGCGCGUGGAUUGGGUCGAGCCGUGCGGCGUGCGCCGCGGGAGGCCGAUUGCAAGUGACGACGCGCAAUCGGAACGCUAUAAAAGGGCAUAGCGAGAGCGUACCGGCAGAGGACCGUGGUAAGGGCACAGCGCCCUAGUAGCUAGU